rnacentral:rRNA from 1 species
UACCAGCACCCCGAGUGGUCGGGACGAUUAUUGGGCCUAAGACAUCCGUAGCCGGUCCUACAAAUCUUCCGUUAAAUCCACCUGCUUAACAGAUGGGCUGCGGAAGAUACUAUAGGGCUAGGAGGCGGGAGAGGCAAGCGGUACUCAGUGGGUAGGGGUAAAAUCCUCUGAUCCAUUGAAGACCACCAGUGGCGAAGGCGGCUUGCCAGAACGCGCUCGACGGUGAGGGAUGAAAGCUGGGGGAGCAACCGG